AUUGAACGCUGGCGGCAGGCCUAACACAUGCAAGUCGAGCGGAUGAUGGGAGCUUGCUCCUUGAUUCAGCGGCGGACGGGUGAGUAAUGCCUAGGAAUCUGCCUGGUAGCGGUGGACAACGUUUCGAAAGGAACGCUAAUACCGCAUACGUCCUACGGGAGAAAGCAGGGGACCUUCGGGCCUUGCGCUAUCAGAUGCGCCUAGGUCGGAUUAGCUUGUUGGUGAGGUAAUGGCUCACCAAGGCGACGAUCCGUAACUGGCCUGAGAGGAUGAUCAGUCACACUGGAACUGAGACACGGUCCAGACUCCUACGGGAGGCAGCAGUGGGGAAUAUUGGACAGUGGGCGAAAGCCUGAUCCAGCCAUGCCGCGUGUGUGAAGAAGGUCUUCGGAUUGUAAAGCACUUUAAGUUGGGAGAAAGGGUUGUAGAUUAAUACUCUGCAAUUUUGACGUUACCGACAGAAUAAGCACCGGCUAACUCUGUGCCAGCCGCCGCAGUAAAAC
rnacentral:rRNA from 1 species